AUUGAACGCUGGCGGUAGGCCUAACACAUGCCAGUCGAACGGCAGAACAGUAAUAGCUUGCUCUUACGGGUGGCGACUGGCGGGCAAUUGAUGGGUACAUCGCAAUCUACUUUUGCUUACGUGCGAACAUGGGCAAACAUACGGUAAUACCCCAGACGACCUACGUGUGGAAGCAGCGGAUCUUCGGACCUUGGAUGAGCGUAGGUCGGAUUAGCUAGUUGGCGGGGUAAAGGCCUACCAAGGCGACGAUCCGUAACUGGUCUGGGAGGAUGAUCAGCCACACUGGAACUGAGACACGGUCCAGACUCCUACGGGAGGCAGCAGUGGGGAAUAUUGGACAAUGGGCGAAAGCCUGAUCCAGCCAUGCCGCGUGUGUGAAGAAGGUCUUCGGAUUGUAAAGCACUUUAAGUGGGGAGGAAGGGCAGUAAGUUAAUACCUUGCUGUUUUGACGGUACCAACAGAAUAAGCACCGGCUAACUUCGUG
rnacentral:rRNA from 1 species